AGAUUAAACUAAAGAGUUUGAUCCUGGCUCAGAUUGAACGCUGGCGGCAUGCCUUACACAUGCAAGUCGAACGGCAGCGCGGACUUCGGUCUGGCGGCGAGUGGCGAACGGGUGAGUAAUAUAUCGGAACGUACCCAGGAGUGGGGGAUAACGUAGCGAAAGUUACGCUAAUACCGCAUACGUCCCAAGGGAGAAAGUGGGGGAUCGCAAGACCUCAUGCUCAUGGAGCGGCCGAUAUCUGAUUAGCUAGUUGGUGGGGUAAAAGCCUACCAAGGCGACGAUCAGUAGCUGGUCUGAGAGGACGACCAGCCACACUGGAACUGAGACACGGUCCAGACUCCUACGGGAGGCAGCAGUGGGGAAUUUUGGACAAUGGGGGCAACCCUGAUCCAGCAAUGCCGCGUGAGUGAAGAAGGCCUUCGGGUUGUAAAGCUCUUUUGUCAGGGAAGAAAAGG
rnacentral:rRNA from 1 species